AGAUCAACAUAGUGGAGGAAAAACAAAGAGCAGCCUGCAAAAACAGGUCCAAGUCAGAAGAGGACUGGAAGACAAGGUACAUGGUUGAGCCCUUAGGCAGGCUACUGUAUGCUGACGAGGUGGUUCCAUCAAGGUCCUAAUCCCUGCAAUGGAGCACAGGAUUGGAUUUACUCUGGCAGCUACUGGGACAGAAAGUACUUCAAUUUGUCUGCCAUUUAGUAAAGUGCAUACAGGUCAGGGUGUUUGGCUAAUCUCUAAGCAAGUCUUAAACCU